UUAUAGGGGCCUUAACCAUGAACUUGGUGAUGAGCUAGAGUAGAUACCUUUCGAUCCCCUACAAGACCUCAAAAUGAAAGGAGCAAUUAUAUCCUUGAUGAUUCUUAAUUGUCGCAAUUAACAAAGUCAGUUUCUGGAGUCUGAGCUGAAAAUGAAGCUUAGAAUGCACCUUCAAUACAUGAAAUUUGGUAUUUUACCAGAUAGAGAAUCCAGCCUGCUGGUUAUUUUCUUCCAGUACUCCAUGUUGUUCCACUGUCUUUUGGCUUAUGCCGUUUCUGAUUAGAAGUUUUCAGUCAUUCUUAUUUGUUUUCCUGCCAAUGCCAGCCCUUGGUGUGUACCCCUGAGCCCUCAGUAAGGACCUCUGGCUACAAGUUUUCAGGAACGGGUUCAGAAUCCCACAUCACAUUCUGUUAUUACUUUUGACUGGUCUCCUGCUGUCUGGAACAGUUUCUCAGUCUUUCUUCAUUUUCAAGAGUGUGAAAAGAUAGCAAAACCAAAAGUCUGGGAACUGCUGGUUUAGAGUCACAAUACUGACUUCUCAGAAUGACUUUUUAAGAAGAAAGCCUUAAAAACCCUUGAUUGAAUGGUUGGUGUCUACAGACAAGCGAAUGUAUGGAAGAGUAACAAGACAUCCAGCCUGAAUCUGUUGAAUGAACAAAAGGGGAAAUGUCCUUAGGAGUCAGAUGGAAGAAGGUUUUCUGGGAAGAGCAGAACAGAGGAGUUGGGCCUCAGACCUCCUGGGUCACAAGCAGGAGGAGAAGAGUAGGGAGACUUUAAAGUGAUUGAGACGAAAAUGGAAGUAAAACAGCUUAAGGCUUUUUGAUACCGGGUUCCUGGCAGCGUCAUUAGCAGAUGGUUUCUUCUGAAGUUCAGGGGAAGAGAAGAUGGUUGAAGGACUCUCCAGGGACUGAGUGGGUGUUACGGAGCCAGUGCUGUAGAUGCUGUGUAUACAGGCGAAUUCCCCAGUGAGUGUUUUCCAAUAUCAAGUUUAACUGACAUUGAAGUUGUAUACCAAAGGUAGGUAAAUUAUUUUGGCCUGUGCUUAUAGGUUUAUUUGACUCAAUGAAGCUACCUGUCUCUGUCCUACUGUGCUGUAGCAGAUGCAGGGUCUUUCCAUACAAUACAUUGAGAGCUACAUCUCAUUUUAAAUAUUUUAAAAGAAACUCUGAUCGUACAAGUCAAGAUUUUUAAGAUCAGCUUUCGGUCAAAUUUUUUUGCUUUAUUUUUUUCUGGAGAUCAAAAUGAAUGUUUAACUGUUUAAGUUGAUUGCAGAGAAAGUUGCUACUCAUUCUAAAUGUAGGUUUUUAGAAAAAGUGUCCUUGCCAAUUGCUUCAGUUGACUUUUUCAAACUUGCAUGGGAAUCAAGAUUCAGAACUGGUACACUAGUGGGAAGAGCCUGGAAAAUAGGCAAUUGAUCAAGAAGGUGGCCCAGAUACUUUAAGACCUUUUUAGUGUAUUUGAAAGAUUAUAAGUUUGAACUAACAGAAACUUUAGUGCUGUUUUCUUUUCACAAGUCAAUGUGUAGUAUACCUUGUUAUUCUUUGUUUUCCUAUAAUAUCUUAAUAAUAUUCCUGGCUGUAAGGAAAAAUUAACAUUAUACAUACAUUUUGACUUAUUUUAUAGAUGACCCAAACAAUAUUUAACAAAAUAUUUCUCAAAUACUAUUUGGAGAUAACUAUAUUAGACACCAUCUUAAUUUCUCAACAUGCUUCUUUUUGAGACUUCCAGAUUUUGGUGCUCUUUUCAGCAUCACUCAUUUUCUUUCAUAAUAAAGAUACCCAAUUGAAAUAUCAUGAUAAAGAUCUGAUAACAAAUCUCCACUUUUGAAGUGUUACAUUUCAUAUCUAUGUGUCCACAAAGAAUUCAGUAUGAACAUUGCAUAUACCAAUGAAUAUUCCCUAAGCUUAAAGCCUCUAAGUCUAGGAUACUUGCAGUUAUUUAGCAAAUAAUUUAAUCCAUGGCAAACAUGAGUCUUAAUACAAAAAUUAUUGAGUAGGCAAAAAAUAAUUUAAUGUAUUUGGGACUGAUUACCAGUGCAUUAAAAAAGUAGAGGUUUAAGGAUGGGAAUAAUACGUUUUUUUGUUUUUACUUAAAUUUAUAUAAAAGGAAGGAAAAUAAAGUAGCCUAUAGUACUUACUAGUGUGGUUAUAUUUUCAGCACUUAAUAAUUACUAUUGAAUUAUGUAAUGUAGGACUAUAUCUGAUAUGAUUUCGCUCUGUUUACCCACCCAAAUCUCAUGUUGAAUUAAAAUUUCCAAUAUAUGGGGAGGUACCUAGUAGGAGGUGACUGGAUCAUUGGGGCAAAUUUCCACCUUGCUGUCCUCAUGAUAGCGAGUGAGUUCUCACAAGAUCGGAUGGUUUAAAAGUGUGUGACAUUUCCCCCUUUACUCUUUCUCUCUCCUCCUGGCCAUGAGAAGAAGUGCUUGCUUCUCUUUCACCUUCUGCGAUGAUUGUAUUUCCUGAGACCUCCCAGCCAUGCUUCCUGUUCAGCCCCCAAAACUGUGAG